UACGAAGGGGGCUAGCGUUGCUCGGAAUCACUGGGCGUAAAGCGCACGUAGGCGGCUUGUUAAGUCAGGGGUGAAAUCCUGGAGCUCAACUCCAGAACUGCCUUUGAUACUGGCGGCCUUGAGUCCGGGAGAGGUGAGUGGAACUGCGAGUGUAGAGGUGAAAUUCGUAGAUAUUCGCAAGAACACCAGUGGCGAAGGCGGCUCACUGGCCCGGUACUGACGCUGAGGUGCGAAAGCGUGGGGAGCAAACAGG
rnacentral:rRNA from 1 species